rnacentral:rRNA from 1 species
CCAGAGCAGUACGGUCCAACUAAAACUUAAAGAACUUGGCGGUUUUCUAGAUCUCCUUGGAGGAGCUUGUCAUCUAAUUGAUAACCCUCAAGACACCUCACCUAUUCAAGAAUAACAGCUUGUAUACCAUCGUCGCCAGCUCACCUCAAAAGAGCGUGAGCCAAACGAACCAACCUCACAACGUCAGAUCAAGGUGCAGUCAAUGAAUAGGGGAUUGAUGAGCUACCAUACUUACAAAAUAGAGGAAGUAAAAAUGAAAAACCUACCGAAAGAGGAUUCAACAGUAACAGAAUACAUAAAAAUUCUGUGAAGUAAGCUCUAGAAUGCGCACACACCGCCCGGUCACCCUCA